rnacentral:rRNA from 1 species
UACGGGGGGGGGCAAGCGUUUGUUCGGAAUUACUGGGCGUAAAGGGCGCGUAGGCGGUUCGCUAAGUUGAAUGUGAAAACUCUGGGCUUAACCCAGAGCCUGCAUUCAAUACUGGCGGGCUAGGGUUCUGGAGGGGAUAGCGGAAUUCCUGGUGUAGCGGUGAAAUGCGUAGAUAUCAGGAGGAACACCGGUGGCGAAGGCGGCUAUCUGGACAGAGUCUG